rnacentral:rRNA from 1 species
UACAGAGGGUGCAAGCGUUGCUCGGAAUUACUGGGCGUAAAGGGCGCGUAGGCGGCCUUCUAAGUCGAACGUGAAAUCCCUGGGCUUAACCCAGGAACUGCGUCCGAUACUGGAAGGCUUGAAUCCGGGAGAGGGAUGCGGAAUUCCAGGUGUAGCGGUGAAAUGCGUAGAUAUCUGGAGGAACACCGGUGGCGAAGGCGGGUCUCUGGGCAACAACUGACGCUGAGGAGCGAAAGCGUGGGGAGCGAACAGG